rnacentral:lncRNA from 1 species
UCCUUCCAUUAUAGCUUUUUGUGCUGCAGCAAGCCUCUUAUUUGUUCUCAUUCUUUAUGCAAAUAUUGGCUUCGCAGAUUCUGCUAUUCGUGAAUGUUGGCCUAUGAAUUAGUUGAGUAUUUAACCUGAAUCCUCAUAUUUUGAACCAACCUAUUAUAUGGGCUUUAGUGUCUUCAUAAAAGACUACAUCUCAUGUACUUGAACCGUGAUCUAUGAUAUCCCCAUAAAGAUAAAUUUUUCUGUUCAUUGUUGGUUUUUCGAUUUCUGUUAGUAAUUUGAGGACAUUUACUGGAAAUUUGGUUCCCCUCUUGAUGGCGGAGAUUACACGAAUUAAACUUGAAUGAGUG